rnacentral:rRNA from 1 species
UACGAAGGGGGCUAGCGUUGCUCGGAAUCACUGGGCGUAAAGCGCACGUAGGCGGAUUGCUAAGUCAGGGGUGAAAUCCUGGAGCUCAACUCCAGAACUGCCCUUGAUACUGGCGGUCUCGAGUCCGGGAGAGGUGAGUGGAACUGCGAGUGUAGAGGUGAAAUUCGUAGAUAUUCGCAAGAACACCAGUGGCGAAGGCGGCUCACUGGCCCGGUACUGACGCUGAGGUGCGAAAAGCGUGGGGGAGCAAACAGGG